GAUGAACGCUAGCGGCAGGCUUAAUACAUGCAAGUCGAGGGGCAGCAGGACUGUAGCAAUACAGUUGCUGGCGACCGGCAAACGGGUGCGGAACACGUACGCAACCUACCCAAAACUGGGGGAUAGCCCGGGGAAACCCGGAUUAAUACCUCGUAACCUUUUUAAGUGGCAUCACUUGAUAAGUAUAGCUCCGGCGGUUUUGGAUGGGCGUGCGCCUGAUUAGGUAGUUGGUGCGGGUAACGGCCCACCAAGCCUGCGAUCAGUAACUGGUGUGAGAGCACGACCAGUCACACGGGCACUGAGACACGGGCCCGAAUCCUACGGGAGGCAGCAGUAAGGAAUAUUGGUCAAUGGACGCAAGUCUGAACCAGCCAUGCCGCGUGAAGGAUGAAGGCCCUCUGGAUUGUAAACUUCUUUUAUGGGGGACGAAACCCGGAUAUUCUUAUCCGAUUGACGGUACCUCAGGAAUAAGCACCGGCUAACUCCGUG
rnacentral:rRNA from 1 species